rnacentral:rRNA from 1 species
UACGUAGGGGGCUAGCGUUGUCCGGAAUCAUUGGGCGUAAAGAGCGUGUAGGCGGUCCGGUAAGUCCGUUGUGAAAGCCCGGGGCUCAACCCUUGAAUGCCGGCGGAUACUGUCGGGCUAGAGUCCGGAAGAGGAAAGUGGAAUUCCCGGUGUAGCGGUGAAAUGCGUAGAUAUCGGAAGGAAGACCAGUGGCGAAGGCGAAUCUCUGGACAGUUACUGACACUGAGGCGCGAAGGCGAGGGGAGCAAACGGG